rnacentral:tRNA from 1 species
CGGGCGUAGUUUAACUGGAUAAAAAAUACCCUGGGUUCUAGUGCUUGGUGGCCACCCGGGGAGUUGCAGGUUCAAGUCCUGUCGACCCGACCA